UGCCGAUCUACAGUAUUACCACAGUA
rnacentral:piRNA from 1 species